AGUCUGCAACCCGACUACAUGAAGCUGGAAUCGCUAGUAAUCGCGGAUCAGAAUGCCGCGGUGAAUACGUUCCCGGGUCUUGUACACACCGCCCGUCACACCAUGGGAGUCGGGAAUGCCCGAAGUCAGUGACCCAACCGGAAGGAGGGAGCUGCCGAAGGCAGGCUCGAUAACUGGGGUGAAGUCGUAACAAGGUACC
rnacentral:rRNA from 1 species